UUCGCACGCUCAGAAGCUAUGGAGCCUCAGGUGGACCCUUGCGGCUUAUCUUCUACUCCCUCCGUCACGAGCCAUACACGGCGAACGCACCAACGCAAAGGCAAGGGAGAAAGUAGCAGAGAGCAUCGGGCCAUACGCGGCGGCAGGCGGAUGGAAGAAAAAGAAAAGCAACAAUAAACAUACUUAACACAGUAGAUUAUUGUUUCAGCAAUUUCAAUUUUUCCCCUUCCCCACCUUCGGGCCGCGUAGUCCCAAGCCAAGAGCUAAACCCAAAUCGAACCAAUCCUUCAGAUGGCGGCGGAUGACGCGACAACGCCGAGAUGGUCUCGGAGAUUCUCUACCGGCUGCCCACCAAGGAAGCGUACCGCCUCGCCGCCGUCUGCGCGCGGUCCGUCGUGGCGUCGAGCGUACGAGAACGAGAUGGUGGUGGGCAACACAUGGGCCUGCUCCUUGGGCAUAGUAAUUCGCUUGUUAGUUUCUGUUUGUUAUUACUGGUACAGUUUGCAUGAUAUACCCUCAGAUAUACUCCGUUGGGAACGAAACUUGUGUGAGUAGAAGAGAGGAGAGACAUUUUUCUCCUUGCACUUGGUGUCCAAGAGGAGUGAGCCCAUCAUGGUACUCUGUCUUAGAGUGCCAGGGAAUGAGUACAGAGUAGUAGUAUGUCUGAUUUCUCAACUGUACAAUUUCCGUCCAUGACCUGAGAGUUUGAUGUUGUUGCCAAACGCCCGAAACCCUCCCCUCCUCUCUCUCCUACCUAUCCCCGCCUCCGCCGCCGCCGUUCGCCGUACGGUUCUUCCCUGGUCCCGAAACCCUCCCCUCCUCCCCCGAUCCUCCGUGAUCCCAGAACCCGACCAGUCGCCACGCGCCUCCCGCCACCUCGGAACGCUGCCGCCGCCAAACCAUCCGAGCCCGUCAACAACUUCGACCUGCUCGACCCCGCGCAGGGCGCGUCCGGCGAGGUGGUCGUCACGCCCGCCUAGCCCAAACAGUCCAAGAAGAGGCCAUCAGCAGAUGAAAGCACCUUCUAUGGAUGAAAGCUGAUUGCAGCACAAGGAGGGACGUGAGCUGGAAGAGAAGCAUGGCCUGCUUGCGCUUGAGCAGAUGAAGAGUCUCACCGCCAAGACCGAGCCUCCGAGCCUGCGAGCCUGCUUGCGCUCUUCUUCUUGGAUCAUCAAUCCCAACUCCGAGCCUCCGAGCCUGCAUCCUAAUACUUAUUAAGCGCCAAGAUGCCGUCGACAACUUCAGAGCCGGAAAGAGCUGGGUGCUAAUAGCAAUGGAGGUCCUUACACCGGGAAUGGGUUUCAAAGGCUUGUUUGGGCAAGGACCCGAGGGGUUCUUUCUCUAGGAUUUUGAAUAUUCAAGCACAAGUGAAUCUACAUUGUGGUCUCUGUUCUGGAGCAGGGAUGAACUCGCUAGCAUGGCCAUGGUGUCAUGAUUGCAGAAUUGACUAAAGGGAAUGUCGUUUGUGGUUUGAAUGAAAAUGGAGCUUCGCAUCAAUCUUCUACUUGAAGGGUGGGGAAAAAAUGAAUAGCGGCAUGUAGAUAAAAGCUCCCAACACUUUAUUGUGCACAAGCCUACCAGGCUACCAAUGUCAGAAACAAGUAAGCUUUAGUUUUUCUUUUGCAACUUCUAGGUCUAAUUUUUUCAUAGGGAAAACGACCCGGGUACACGGCGUGCCCUUUCGUGCAUUCAAAUAGAAGGUCGACACGGUCGACCAAGGUAGUUUAAGAAAAAAAUACAAAACUAGAUCAAAGAUGCAAAGAACAACAAGCAAAGAUGGGAAGAGCCGUAGGGCAAAGGAAAAUAAAAUUAGGCGACAUCAUCGGAGCCUGAAAGAUGGUUCCCAAGCCCCCCCGAUUGCUAGCGCUGCACCGCAACCACUUGAGCAGGGACUAGCAGGGACCAUUAGUUUACUCUAGAAAAUCCUAUCGUUGUGUUCUUCCCAUAUUGUCCAGAGUGAAAGCAGGAUGUGCGAGGUCACACCUUUCCUGUUGACUCUGUCAUACCGCGAGCUGGAAGCAUCAGCCCUGACAAGCCAUCAGGCAACGAUCUCACUAUAGCUCGGCCAACCAGCCGGAUCCAAGCAGGUAACAUUUGCCCAGGCAGCAACAGCCGUCCAAACCGAUCGAAUGAAAGGGCAAGUAAGUUUUUACUUCAGCCUUCACAACUUGUUUUAUCAUUGUUUUUCUAGAGCUAUGAGUUAUUGCUUUUCUUGGUCUUUCAGGGUGUAAGGAAACAAUUUGAACCAUGUAUUCUUCCAACAUCCGACCACUGCAAUCAUCAUGGAGUUAUAAACAGAAUAGAAACAGACAGCAUCCGACCCAAAUAUAUUCCUCGUUGGAGUUUUUUUUUUGAGAGAGAUCAAGGGGGGAGGGGGGGAGGGGGGGGGGGGGUAAAAUCCCCACCUGAAUAUAUUCCCAAAGGAGGCCCAUGGGCAAUACAACUUGCUGGCGCAAGAAACAUAUCAGAACACAAAAACCCCACUUUACAACACAACGCAAAGGAACAUUCUAAACAGAAGCUAGCCCACAUCCAUCCAAAAGACACGGAAAUGCAGCAAGGGUUAUGGUGUUUGAGUUUGUUAACAAUUAACAUUGUUCAUAUGAUAGAUAUUUUGCGGUUUCGGUAUUACUUGCCUUCCAUUGGGACUUGUAUUCUCAUACACGCUCACAGUAUAUGAAGAUGAUAUAUUCUCAGAUAUUUUAUUUUAGUCAUGCGAACUGUUUGCCUCUACUCAUUAGAUCACAAUUUUAUGUUGCAUGUGAUUACUUUCUGGUUUUGGAUGUAGAUCUUACCUUGAGCGAGGCUGAAUGUCUCCUGUAGAAAGCAGCUAGGCAGGCAAACAAGUAGACGGCAGCUGAAGCCCUUGACAAGAAAAGUGGAAACAAGAGCAUAAAAUGGCACGAAAACAUGAAGCUUGUCAAGAAAGUGUGCCUUCCCUUCAAGUGACGUCAUAUUGUUAGAAGCUAUUGAUUGUAUUUACUGCUUUGGAUCUUAAACGCAUCAGGGAAUAGAGUAUAAUAAGAGAUAUGCAAUUACUAGCACAUUUUGAUUGAAUAACUACCAAAGUGUGCUGCUUAAUUCUUGCUA